rnacentral:tRNA from 1 species
GGCUCGGUAACUUAGCUGGUAAAGCUCUUGUCUAGCGUAUGAAUGUUAUGAGUUCAAAUCUCAUCUGAGAUG